rnacentral:lncRNA from 7 species
CGCCUCCACAAGCCGCAAAAAUGUAGAGGUGAACUGUGCAUCCACUAUUCGCGUGUGUGUGGGCUUCUCUCGGUGGCAUAGAGAGUUCCACCUCGCACUCGUUGUUCGUCCAUUGCUCCAAUCGUCUUCUAGCCGCUGUUUGGACGCACGGGCCAAGAUCCUCGUCCGCUUCGUCAUAACUCCGUGAACUUCGUUGCGGCAGCUGAAGCCUCCACAUUGUCUACGCUGGUCCGCUGAUGCGACUAGCCAAUCUCUCGGCCUCCGCCUCCGAAGGCAACCCUAGUGACCACCCGCAACAUAGGAGGCGUGGGGCGCAUUGCUAUUCCAUGUGGGAGGGCAGCGCACAACCCACCUUCAUCGAGAUGCUUGCCACACGCAGGCGUAGCAGCCCCGCAAGACUUGGCGCCGUCCCGACCUACUCGCUAAGGAUCGGCUCUCCACUGGAUUUGCAACUGUAGAUCCUCAUUUGUCAAAAGUUGAUGUUGUGAGAACUUCGAUGCUAAUUUCAGAGGCACUAGAAUGGUAAUUGCACACCGUUUUCAGCAGCAUCAUAUGUGCAAGUAUGCAAUGCUCGGAUAGCAUCCUAUUUCUUGGUAAUUUGACAUAGGUUGCAUCAUGUCAUUUUUUUCAUUGCUCUAUGUAUUUGUUUUUCGUGUGUUUUGCAACUAGUUUUGUCAGUGCUACUUACAUCUUACAUAUUCAAUUCUUGCAACUUG